UCUAAUGUAUACUUACUUGCUCUUUUCUGAUUUGUACCCAUGUGUGCAAGCAAGUGUAUCUGUCAAAUUGAUGAAGCCGGUAAAAAUGAAGCUGUAUCUGGUGACUGGGGGCUGUCAUUUGCAAAUAAGAUGUCGAUUUAAAAAGGCGACUGGAUGAAGUGUGCUUGGAAAGGUUUCAACAAUAUAGUAGAACAUACAUCCAGUCAUGGAUUCUUCAAGGUAAAGUCAUUGUUGAUGGAAGAGUUGUGAAUAAAGCUGGAACACAAGUAUCUGACAAGUCAGUCAUUG